rnacentral:tRNA from 1 species
GCCGAGGUGGCGAAAUUGGUAGACGCAUCAGACUCAAAAUCUGACGAGGGCAACCUCGUGCCGGUUCGAGUCCGGCCCUCGGUACCA